CACCAGGGUGAUGGGGAAAAGGACAAGAACACUGAGCUUCAUGAGCAUGAGUCACGCUUCACUUACUGUGAAAUGAGUUCUCUGGUCAGAAGCAAUGCAAUAUGGAAUCUGAUGAUGAUGAAUAAGGCAUCUGUAAAUCCAUGGAUCAGCAAAAUUGUUGAGGGCUAGAAGGACAGAUUCAUAUUCACAGUGUCUAUUCCAGCGAGAACAAAGUUCUACGUCUUCUUUGAUGGAAUUAGUCCAAACUAAUCAACCUGCUACCAGGUAUGGAGGAGUAAAAUCAGCAGAUCAAUAACUGCUUAUCAGAGAGAAUGUUGAUUUACUUCAAGUAAAGAAACAGCAUUUGGAACAGUAGCUGGAUUUGGAGUUGCCACCUGAUUAAGUUUAUGAAAACAUGCUAUCAUUUUCCAAGCUACAUCUGAAGAGGUCAAACAGUCCACAGCCUCAUCCUUGUUCCUCUGUGAGCAGAUGUUUCUUCUACCUUUAUUCAGAACAUCAGGGCCAUCACCACCUGACACAGUGAAGUCAUCAUCUGAUGGUGAGAGAAGCAACUACAGAAGUUUUUUUAUGAGAUAACUUUGGAAAGAUGGUCAUGGCUUAAAAAUUUCCCAAGAAAAUCCUCAAGGGACACUAACAGGUAGAGCCAUCAGAGCUUGCUAAUGGACUUGCUGUUGAGCGGUAAUGAAAAGAGAGAACUCCAUCUCCACUUAGCAUGAAAGCCCAUGGUUCAGUGUCUGACAUUUGUAAGUACUCAAUAAAUAUUGGUUUUACUAGGCUUAUUGUA